UACUUAGUGGCAGACGGGUGAGUAACAUGUGGGUAUCUACCCUUUGGCCUGGAAUAACACGAGGAAACUUGUGCUAAUACCGGAUAAGUCUUUACGGAGAAAGCUUUAUGCACCAUUGGAUGAGCCCGCACUUGAUUAGUUUGUUGGUAGGGUAAUGGCCUACCAAGACUAUGAUCAAUAGCUGAUUUGAGAGGAUGAUCAGCCACAUUGGGACUGAGACACGGCCCAAACUCCUACGGGAGGCAGCAGUGGGGAAUCUUGCACAAUGGAGGAAACUCUGAUGCAGCGAUGCCGCGUAAGUGAAGAAGGCCUUUGGGUUGUAAAGCUCUUUCGUCGGGGAAGAAAAUGACUGUACCCGAAUAAGAAGGUCCGGCUAACUUCGUGCCAGCAGCCGCGGUAAUACGAAGGGACCUAGCGUAGUUCGGAAUUACUGGGCUUAAAGAGUUCGUAGGUGGUUGAAAAAGUUGGUGGUGAAAUCCCAGAGCUUAACUCUGGAACUGCCAUCAAAACUUUUCAGCUAGAGUAUGAUAGA
rnacentral:rRNA from 1 species